AAGAUAUGGAGCUGGAGAGAGCGAUGCUGAGUAUCUCUCCUUCCAAGCAUCACGUGGAGAGCUCCGUUCCUGCAACAUCCUCAGCUGCCAGACCACAAGAGGCUUCAGGAACAGAAAGAGGUUCUUAACCAAAAACGUCCUGUUGUCGAUAGACAACUGUGGGAACAUGAAUCCUUAUUCCAAACUGAAGCAUGUCUUAAAUCGAUCCAUCUCAGGUUGACCACGUUCUGGUCGUGUCUGUGUUUUGGUGUUCUACUUAAGAGUCCUAGUGACUAUGAAUUGAUUCCAGUCAUGAUGAGGUGUCAUCUGCUAGACUGUCCACACCGACUGAAGUGAAGGGUUCACAAGGAGAUGCCUCAGCUCUGCAGCAGUAAAGAGACCAGUGCCCCUGCCUAAGGAGCUGAUGUUCCUCUUACCACAAACAGAAUGUCCUCUGCCAACAAAGACAACUGUCACGGUUCCAGAGACCCUUCUGAUGCCUCCUGAGACAUCCACAGAGCCCAGUCAAGUGCCACUGCAACCGCCAAUUGCACAGCAAGCUCAAAGUCAGCCUUUACCAAAGCCGUCAGCCGUCCCCAGCAUUCCUCCUCCACAGCUGGCCGUCCUCACAAUCUGAGUGACCUGACAAGAAGAAGACUUGCCCUGCUGCUGAGGAGCAUGGUGCUGCCACCACCAUGCUUCACGCUGGAGAUGCUGGUGGCUCCGACUGGUGAAGAACCCGGGCAACAUAUGUUGUAUGUGCAUUCUCUCCUAUCUGAACCACUGAGGCUUGUAACUACUGCAGAGUGGUCCUAGGUGUCUUGGUGACCUCCCUCCCCAGUCUUCUUCUUGUCCAGUCACUCAGAUUGUGAGGACGGCCAGCUAUAGGCAGAUUUAAACAAGUGACACACUGCUUCCAUUUCUUAAUGAUGGUUUAACUGAACUCUGUGAGAUCAGUGAGCUUGACAUUUUUUGUAGCCAUCUCCUGACUUCUACUUUUCAAUUAUCUUUUCUCUGAGUUGUUAAGAGUGUUCUUUAGUCUUCAUGUUACAAUUGUAGCAGGAAUAGUGAUGAACCAGAGACUGGACCUCCCAGACACACAUGUUUUUAUACUAUGAUCACUUGACACACAUCAACUGUGCUCAGGUGAUCUCCAUUUCACUAACUGUGACUCUGCUGCAUCAAUUAGCUGGAACUUUGUUGAAUUAGGUCAGUUACUUUAAAGGGUAUGAAUACUGAUGCAAUCAUUUAUUUUACCUCACAUAUUUUUAAUUAAUUUACAUUAUUUUGUAAAAAUCUGUUUUCACUUUGAUAUUAAAGAGUUUUUUUUUGCAAAUUCUUUUUAAAAAGGCCAAAUUAUGUUGACCAUUAUUUCAUGUGUAAAAGCAACGUUUUAAAGGCAUUGUAUAUAGUUUUUUAUUUUUAUGUUUUUAUGUGCUGUGUAUGUAUGACCUUGCACUGUGGGCUCUGUCUGUUAAUAAAUAACACAUUCCAUUUA